rnacentral:tRNA from 1 species
UUUAGGGAGACCUAACCAAUUGAAGUCCGAAAUAAUUCUAAAUUAGGACUCAAAUCAGGUAAUCCUAGGUCGUGCGAGGGAAAUAAUUAGAAGCUUUCAAACUUAAGUUCGGUUCGGUUUUGGGCUAUUAGCUCAGGUGGUUAGAGCGCACCCCUGAUAAGGGUGAGGUCCCUGGUUCGAGUCCAGGAUGGCCCACCUAAACCAAUAAUCAAGUGUCAAGUCAGAACUUGGAAAUAAUCAAUUAUUUCAAGUUUCAUUCUUGAGCCUUUUGGAUGGGGGUAUAGCUCAGUUGGUAGAGCGCUGCCUUUGCAAGGCAGAUGUCAGCGGUUCGAGUCCGCUUACCUCCAUGAGGUCAAGCAGCCUCAAGAGGCAAGACCCAAAAACCACUGAUUAAAAUAAUCGAACUAAUCUCUCUUGAUAUUUGAGGCGAGAAGUUAGCACCUGAACUUGAAUUAAAAGACAAGUCAGACUGCUGAACGGACUCGUUCAGUCAGAACCUUGAAAACUGCAUAGCAAUAGGAAAAAAACCAAGUCGGUAAGUCAGGCUUACGCCCAAGGGCGCUAGCCAUCUUAUUUAGACUGAGUAACAAAGAAAAAGUU